UACGAAGGGGGCUAGCGUUGCUCGGAAUCACUGGGCGUAAAGCGCACGUAGGCGGAUUGUUAAGUCAGGGGUGAAAUCCUGGAGCUCAACUCCAGAACUGCCUUUGAUACUGGCGAUCUUGAGUCCGGGAGAGGUGAGUGGAACUGCGAGUGUAGAGGUGAAAUUCGUAGAUAUUCGCAAGAACACCAGUGGCGAAGGCGGACUCACUGGCCCGGUACUGACGCUGACGGU
rnacentral:rRNA from 1 species